rnacentral:tRNA from 1 species
GCCUGAGUGGCUCAGUGGGUUAAGCAUCUGACUUAGGCUCAGGUCAUGGUUUGUGGGUUUGAGCCCCGCAUCGGGUU